UACAGAGGGGGCAAGCGUUGUUCGGAAUUACUGGGCGUAAAGGGCGCGUAGGUGGCCUUCUAAGUUGAACGUGAAAUCCCUGGGCUCAACCCAGGAACUGCGUCCAAGACUGGGAGGCUUGAAUCCGGGAGAGGGAUGCGAAAUUCCAGGUGUAGCGGUGAAAUGCGUAGAUAUCUGGAGGAACACCGGUGGCGAAGGCGGCAUCCUGGACCGGUAUUGACACUGAGGCGCGAAAGCCAGGGGAGCAAACGGG
rnacentral:rRNA from 1 species